CUUGAGGAGUGGCUUCCGGAGCUAACGCGUUAAGUCGACCGCCUGGGGAGUACGGCCGCAAGGUUAAAACUCAAAUGAAUUGACGGGGGCCCGCACAAGCGGUGGAGCAUGUGGUUUAAUUCGAUGCAACGCGAAGAACCUUACCUACUCUUGACAUCCACGGAAUUCGGCAGAGAUGCCUUAGUGCCUUCGGGAACCGUGAGACAGGUGCUGCAUGGCUGUCGUCAGCUCGUGUUGUGAAAUGUUGGGUUAAGUCCCGCAACGAGCGCAACCCUUAUCCUUUGUUGCCAGCGAGUCAUGUCGGGAACUCAAAGGAGACUGCCGGUGAUAAACCGGAGGAAGGUGGGGAUGACGUCAAGUCAUCAUGGCCCUUACGAGUAGGGCUACACACGUGCUACAAUGGCGCAUACAAAGAGAAGCGACCUCGCGAGAGCAAGCGGACCUCACAAAGUGCGUCGUAGUCCGGAUCGGAGUCUGCAACUCGACUCCGUGAAGUCGGAAUCGCUAGUAAUCGUGGAUCAGAAUGCCACGGUGAAUACGUUCCCGGGCCUUGUACACACCGCCCGUCACACCAUGGGAGUGGGUUGCAAAAGAAGUAGGUAGCUUAACCUUCGGGAGGGCGCUUACCACUUUGUGAUUCAUGACUGGGGUGAAGUC
rnacentral:rRNA from 3 species